CCUACGGGAGGCAGCAGUGAGGAAUAUUGGACAAUGGGCGCAAGCCUGAUCCAGCCAUGCCGCGUGCAGGAAGACGGUCCUAUGGAUUGUAAACUGCUUUUGUACAGGAAGAAACAUCCCGACGUGUCGGGACUUGACGGUACUGUAAGAAUAAGGAUCGGCUAACUCCGUGCCAGCAGCCGCGGUAAUACGGAGGAUCCAAGCGUUAUCCGGAAUCAUUGGGUUUAAAGGGUCCGUAGGCGGUUUAAUAAGUCAGUGGUGAAAUCUGGUCGCUCAACGAUCAAACGGCCAUUGAUACUGUUAGACUUGAAUUAUAAGGAAGUAACUAGAAUAUGUAGUGUAGCGGUGAAAUGCUUAGAUAUUACAUGGAAUACCAAUUGCGAAGGCAGGUUACUACUUAUGGAUUGACGCUGAUGGACGAAAGCGUGGGGAGCGAACAGGAUUAGAUACCCUGGUAGUCCACGCCGUAAACGAUGGAUACUAGCUGUUGGGAUUUAUCUCAGUGGCUAAGCGAAAGUGAUAAGUAUCCACCUGGGGAGUACGUUCGCAAGAAUUGAAACUNAAAGGAAUUGAGGCUUGAGAGNGCGAGACGACGACGAGGAGAGG
rnacentral:rRNA from 1 species